rnacentral:tRNA from 1 species
AAUGGUUCUUGUAGUUGAAUAACAACGGUGGUUCUUCAAGUCAUUGGUCUCGGUUAAAGUCUGAGCAAGAAUUAUG